rnacentral:rRNA from 1 species
GACAGAGGUGCCGAGCGUUAGGCGGAAUCACUGGGCUUAAAGCGUGUGUAGGCGGAUUCCUAAGUACCUUGUGAAAUCCCAUGGCUCAACCAUGGAACUGCUUGGUAUACUGGGUGUCUUGAGCCAACUAGGGGCUACCGGAACAAAUGGUGGAGCGGUGAAAUGCGUAGAUAUCAUUUGGAACGCCAAUGGUGAAAACAGGUAGCUGGGGUUGUGCUGACGCUGAGACACGAAAGCCGGGGGAGCGAACGGG